AGUAUUAGAAGAUCUGGAAACCUAAAAUUUUUGGCGGUUUAUUAGACCAGUUAGAGGAACUUGCCCUUUAAUAGAUACCCCUCUAUAUAUUUUACUUUUUUCUUAAAUACCGCCGUCGACGACAGGUCAAGGUUUAGUUAAUGAAAAAGGUUGAAAGUGGAUUUAAAAGUUUAUAGUGUUUAAUUGGGCUCUAAUAAAUGU
rnacentral:rRNA from 1 species